AUGUCCGCGCGGCGGCCGGCCAGGGCCCAGCACGCGACGGCGACGGCCACGACGGUCACGCCGCGGAUCCUUAACCUGGCGAGGAGGUCGUCGGCGGCGGGCGGGAGGCCGAGCCGGAGCGCGGCCCGGCCGCAGCAGCCCCGCCCGGCGCCCAAGGUGGUCAACCUCGGCGCGCUGUUCGAGAUGGAGCGCCGCGUGCGCGGGCUGGAGUCGGCGCCGGCGUCGCCGCCCUGCUCCCACGGGCCCGCCGCGCGGCCGCGGGAGGACGCCGCGGAGCAGGAGGGGAAGUGGCGGUUCCAGGCGGAGAUCCUCCGCGCCGAGUGCAACUUCCUCCGGAUGGAGCGCGAGGUCGCCCUCCGCAAGCUCGACUGCCACCGCGGCCAGAUGGAGGCCGCCCUCAAGACCGCCGUCGAGACGCUCGCCUCGGGGAGGAAGAAGAUAGACGCAAGUGGCGAGGUCGGCGUGGCGGCGGCGUUGGAGGAAGGGAUCGAGGACCUGGAGGAGAUGAUGCAGGAACUCCGGGUGGAGAAGGAGAGCGGGAGGAGGGCGAUGAGCGGCAUGCGGGAGCUGCGGCGGAGCCACGGCCGGAACUUCGAUCGGCAAGCAUCCUCGCUCCGCCGGCGCCUCGAGAGGAUGCCACCAGCCGACGCCGAGCCCACUAUCAAGGACAUCCGCGAGAUCGCGCGCCCGCUCUCCCCACCGCCGCCUCCGCCUGCCGAGGACGACGACGGCGAUGACCACGUCCCCAGCGCCAAUCUGUCAGAUGUGGAGAUGCUUCGGGUGAAGAUGGAGGGGAUGUCGAAGGGCAUGCGCGACAGGAUGGCGGAGUACAGCCGGCGGCUGGAAGCCGUCGCGGGCGGCGGCGACAACUCCGGCUGCCAGUCCAGGAAAUGCGGCAGCCGGCACAGCCGUAAGGCGAGCGCGUGCAGCCAGAGGAGCUGGAGCGGCAGCAGCAACGCGAGCAACGGCAGCAAUGCGGCGGCGUUCCGGCAGAACGCCUGGCACGGCGCCAGCGUGGCCUCCGAGAAGCAUCAACACCCGCAGAAGAUUGUGGCUGAAGACUGCAAGUUGGUGCGCUCUGGAAGCUGCUGCGACUGCAAGGAGAUUGUGGGGAAGAUAAUGAAGCAAGUGAGAGCGGAAUCGGAGCAAUGGACUGAGAUGCAGGACAUGCUGGAGCAGGUCAGGCUGGAGAUGCAGGAGCUGCAGUCUUCCAGGGAUACAUGGCAGCGCCGUGCCAUUGCGUCUGACAUCAGUCUUGGUUCCUUGAAUUCUGAGAUGCUGGAGUGGAAACAACGCGCGCAGGCGUCGGAACAGCAUGCUGAAGAGCUCCAGAAGAAGGUCUCGGAGCUCCAAGGCAAGCUGCACACCUUCAAAUCCCAUUUCCCCACCCCAAACCUGCCCAGCCGGGCAUGGUCUGAGGCUUGCAGGAUGGAGAACCCGCGGGCAGCCAGGGCUCAGCACCACCACCGGCCACCGCAGCAGCAGCAGCAGCAGCAGCAGGACGGCGGCAAGGAGAAGGAGAAGCACGUGCUCAUCUGCCGCGUGAAGCACUCGCCCAGCGUGGUCCCGAGGCGCUCGCCGCUGCAGGACAUCGGCAACAUCGCCUUGCCGCGGCGGCAGCGGUGA
rnacentral:rRNA from 1 species